AUACGGAGGGUGCAAGCGUUAAUCGGAAUUACUGGGCGUAAAGCGCACGCAGGCGGUCUGUCAAGUCGGAUGUGAAAUCCCCGGGCUCAACCUGGGAACUGCAUUCGAAACUGGCAGGCUAGAGUCUUGUAGAGGGGGGUAGAAUUCCAGGUGUAGCGGUGAAAUGCGUAGAGAUCUGGAGGAAUACCGGUGGCGAAGGCGGCCCCCUGGACAAAGACUGACGCUCAGGUGCGAAAGCGUGGGGAGCAAACAGGAUUAGAUACCCUGGUAGUCCACGCCGUAAACGAUGUCGAUUUGG
rnacentral:rRNA from 1 species